rnacentral:rRNA from 1 species
CCUACGGGAGGCAGCAGUGGGGAAUAUUGGGCAAUGGAGGCAACUCUGACCCAGCAACGCCGCGUGAGUGAUGAAUGUCUUCGGAUUGUAAAGUUCUGUGAUGGGGGAUGAACACAAUGACAGUACCCCAAUAGCAAGCCACGGCUAACUACGUGCCAGCAGCCGCGGUGAUACGGAGGUGGCAAGCGUUAUCCGGAUUGACUGGGCGUAAAGGGUGCGUAGGUGGUUUAGUAAGUUGGCGGUGUAAUUCCGGGGCUCAACCACGGCGCUACCGCGAAAACUAGUAGACUUGAGUGCAGGGGGGGCAAGUGGAAUUCGUAGUGUAGCGGUGGAAUGCGUAGAUAUUAGGAAGAACAUCAGGGGCGAAGGCGACUUACUGGACUGUAACUGACACUGAGGCACGAAAGCGUGGGGAGCAAACAGGAUUAGAUACCCCGGUAGUC